CGACAAUAUCUGGUUGAAACCAGUUCUCGUACGAACACCGAAGUUAAGCAAUGACGAGCCUAACCAGUACCUAGAUGGGUGAACGCUUGGGAAUAACAGGUGCU